rnacentral:misc_RNA from 1 species
GAACGCACAUUGCGCCCUCUGGUAUUCCGGGGGGCAUGCCUGUUCGAGCGUCAUUAUAACCACUCAAGCUCUCGCUUGGUAUUGGGGUUCGCGGUUUCGCGGCCCCUAAAAUCAGUGGCGGUGCCUGUCGGCUCUACGCGUAGUAAUACUCCUCGCGAUUGAGUCCGGUAGGUCUACUUGCCAGCAACCCCUAAUUUUUUUAAGGUUGACCUCGGAUCAGGUAGGGAUACCCGCUGAACUUAAG